GGAGGAGCGUGUGAAAAAACGGAGCAGAAUCCACAUGACUAGUGCAGUGGAAACACAGGGAGAGCUGCAGUCGAGGCGUGGGUGAGUGAACAUCAUGGGACAUAUUCUCAGUGAAUGAACUAACGUUACAGCAGUUUGGAGCUUCACCCCUUCAUCCCAGAGCGCACAGCUGCUGAACUCACUGGACAAUAUAACAGCACUGAAGCUGAGAUUACAGAGUCCUGUUUUAAAGUUUAGAAUAAUGAGAGUGAAUUUUUCUGCUAGUUGGAUAUUUCAAGGAUGGAUCACACACUUCGUUCUUGCUCUGUGCACGCAGGCAGGGCUGGCCAUAAGCUGCCAACAAAACGAAUAUGAGCACAACGGGGGAUGCUGCAGAAAAUGUGAACCAGCAGAAGGAUAAGAAAAAGAGGAAGAGGCCUACACACACC
rnacentral:lncRNA from 1 species